rfam:Gibberella moniliformis 7600 chromosome 4 cont3.62, whole genome shotgun sequence.
AUCCAAGUGCAUGGGCGUUUUCCUUCUCCGUGAAGCGAUAAGCUGAGAGAGGAAUUUUGCUAGUUGAAAACUAUACACUGACCGCUCCUUGUUGGGUUCGCCUGGCAAGGGAAUUUUUGGAACUUUCAUUUUCUUUCAUUGCGACCAGUUCUUGAUGGACUGCCGUGAAGAAG